GACCUUGUGAUCCGCCCACCUCAGCCUCCCAAAGUGGUGGGAUUAUAGGGGUGAGCCAUGGCGCCUGGCCUGGGAUGCUUUCUUUUGUCCUGUAGGCAGCAACUUCUCCUGAUGGUGGAUUUCUAGUCUGUAGUUCUCUUGUUCCAACAGAAUGCUCUUGCUUAUUUCAUUUUUAGAUCCUUAAAAUCAGGGGGUCUACCUCUGGCUUCUGUUUGCUGAGGUUUCAUUAGCUUCUCUAGGUAGCUCUAUUGAAUGGGAUGAAAAACAACCUCUCUGCUGGCUCUUUCUCUCACACACGAAACUCACAUAGUGCCCAUGCUUGUCCGUGUGGUUCUUUGUGUUUAUUACAAAGAGGUGCCCGUUUCUCAAGAUACUUUAUUUCUGCCUAUGGGGAAAUUGUUGUAAUACACACCGGUUUUGUUAGAACAAGAACCUCUAUUGCCAUCUACCAGAAAGUAAACAUAGAAACUUAUGAUGACUACCAUGUGAUUAAAUGUUGACAUUAGAUGUUGUACCCUUGACAGCAUACAACUUGCACACCAUGCCUGGUGACCCUAGGCUCACACAUCGUAUACAAGAAACACAUGAUUUGCCUAGAUGAACUUUGGAAAUGAAAGCUGAUUCCAACACAGAAGCAAACUCUUCUUUAUCCAGCUUUCAUCAGUUAGGAGGAUUGCCUUACUCUCAGAGUAGUCUUCUUGAAGCUCUCUCUUGCCCUCAUGAGAAGACACUAAGGAUCAUGUGAAAGAGCUCCCUGAGGACAGAUUAAGAAGAGAUGAGUUAAAGCUGCAAAUACCAAGAUUUAAGAUGAAAUUAAGAAUGCUGAUCAACUAAAGGACCUUCACAUACAAAGGUUAUCCUGGAUUAUUCAGAUUUGGAUGGCAAAUUGUCUUUCUGCAAUUGUUUUAUGGCUGCCAUUGCAAUUAAGAAAUGGAAAAUAAAUUUCUGAAAUCCAACAAAGUCUGAUCUUAUCAGCAUCAGAACCAUGUAUGGAAGGAGAAAACAGAACUCACGCUUAAGAGGAUGGCCAAAUAGAAAGACCAGCCGAGUGGAAAAAGUCCUCCUAAGUGGAGCAGUUGAACCUUGGGAAUGUAUCAGCCUUAGAAAAUUGCAGCUGGAGACAUCUGUCAUUUCCCCUGGUAACCAGCAUUCUACCCUCUACCACCAUGGGAUCCACUGUUUUAGCUCCCACAGAUGAAUGAGAACAUGUGACAUUUGUCUUUCUGUGCCAAGAAGCUCCGUGGUUUUAGCUUUCACAUAUUGAUAGAUCUACAGUAUAUCUGGAACUGAUAUUUGCAUAUGAUGUGAGGCAGAAGCUCAAGAUCCACAUUUUCACCUGUGUUUACCCAACUGAUUCAUAUCCAGUUGACCCAGGAACACUGACUAAAAAGAAUAUCCUUUUCCUAACUAAUCGUGUGUUACUUUUAUCAUACAUCAAGUGGACUCUUUUCUUUUCCACUGACUAAUAUCUAUCCUUUCACCAAUUCUCUUAAUUACUGCAGCAAUAUAAUAAAUCUUGAUACCUGAAAGUGAAA